AUUGAACGCUGGCGGCAGGCCUAACACAUGCAAGUCGAGCGGAUGAAGGGAGCUUUCUCCUGGAUUCAGCGGCGCACGGGUGUGUAAAGCCCAUGAAUCCGCCUGGUAGUGGGGGAUAACGCCCGGAAACAGGCGCUAAUAUCGCAUACGUCCUGAGGGAGAAAGAGGGGGAGCUUCGGACCUCACGCUAUCAGAUGAGCCUAGGUCGGAUUAGCUAGUUGGUGGGGUAAAGGCCUACCAAGGCGACGAUCCGUAGCUGGUCUGAGAGGAUGAUCAGUCACACUGGAACUGAGACACGGUCCAGACUCCUACGGGAGGCAGCAGUGGGGAAUAUUGGACAAUGGGCGAAAGCCUGAUCCAGCCAUGCCGCGUGUGUGAAGAAGGUCUUCGGAUUGUAAAGCACUUUAGGUUGGGAGGAAGGGCAGUAAGUUAAUACCUUGCUGUGUUGACGUUACCGGCAGAAUAAGCACCGGCUAACUUCGUG
rnacentral:rRNA from 1 species